GCAGCGCAACGAGCUUGCUAGUGCCCUGGACUGGAUACCUGUACCUCCUCGGGUUCCUCUCUGCCUCCCAGACGGGACCCCAGCAUAAGCACAGAUGUCACAGAGGAGAUGAUGCCUCUGUGACUUAACGGAUGGAAGCCUCCUCAGACAGGUGCCUGCUGGUUGUUGUUAGGGCAGCAGUUUGCUCCAACACCCGCCCCCUCGGAAGCGUGCUUCAGAGCCCCGGAACAUCGUCAAGGUGUACACCUCCUCUGGAGGCAGCGUUCUGGUCCGGAGUGGCAGAGCGAAGAUGGAGUCAGGCUGGCCCAUCAGAGUGUCUUAAUUAAGCAUACAGAGACCUACAGAGAAUCUGCACCUUACACGCACCCCAGCUUUGCCAAACCCCGUAUUUGAAAGCGGAGAGUGCAAAGGAGAAGAAAGAUGGCUGGAAUCCACGAAAUGAAAACCCUGUUCUCUCUGACAUCGUGUAAGGUUCCGGGACAAAACUCAGAUGGCCAGGCUUCCCGCUAAACCACUCGUCCUUCUUCUUAUGAAGUGAAAGCCAUGUCUGUGAAUUUGGGCUGGUGAUCUCUUCCCAGAGACGUGCACUGUGGAUCGUGCUCUUCGUCUAAAGCUCAUCCUGUAGCUGUGUUUCUGGGAUCUCCUUUGGUACCAAAGAUUUCGGUUUUAAUAAAGUCAAACAUAUGAUUUA